rnacentral:rRNA from 1 species
AAAAAAGGUAAGCUACUAAGAGCGAAUGGUGGAUGCCUUGACUGGUAAAGGCGAUGAAGGACGUACUAGACUGCGAUAAGCUACGGGGAGCUGUCAAGAAGCUUUGAUCCGUAGAUUUCCGAAUGGGGCAACCCAAUGUAUAGAGAUAUACAUUACCUAUAUAGGAGCGAACGAGGGGAAUUGAAACAUCUUAGUACCCUCAGGAAAAGAAAUCAAUAGAGAUUGCGUCAGUAGCGGCGAGCGAAAGCGCAAGAGGGCAAACCCAGUGCUUGCACUGGGGGUUGUAGGACUGCAAUGUGCAAGAGGUGAGUUUAGCAGAACAUUCUGGAAAGUAUAGCCAUAGAGGGUGAUAGUCCCGUAUGCGAAAAACAAACCUUAGCUAGCAGUAUCCUGAGUAGGGCGGGACACGAGAAAUCCUGUCUGAAGCUGGGUCGACCACGAUCCAACCCUAAAUACUAAUACCAGAUCGAUAGUGCACAAGUACCGUGAGGGAAAGGUGAAAAGAACUGAGGUGAUCAGAGUGAAAUAGAACCUGAAACCAUUUGCUUACAAUCAUUCAGAGCCCUAUGUAGCAAUACAGGGUGAUGGACUGCCUUUUGCAUAAUGAGCCUGCGAGUUGUGGUGUCUGGCAAGGUUAAGCAAACGCGAAGCCGUAGCGAAAGCGAGUCUGAAUAGGGCGCUUAGUCAGAUGCUGCAGACCCGAAACGAAGUGAUCUAUCCAUGAGCAAGUUGAAGCUAGUGUAAGAACUAGUGGAGGACUGAACCCAUAGGCGUUGAAAAGCCCCGGGAUGACUUGUGGAUAGGGGUGAAAGGCCAAUCAAACUUCGUGAUAGCUGGUUCUCUCCGAAAUAUAUUUAGGUAUAGCGUUGUGUCGUAAUAUAAGGGGGUAGAGCACUGAAUGGGCUAGGGCAUACACCAAUGUACCAAACCCUAUCAAACUCCGAAUACCUUAUAUGUAAUCACAGCAGUCAGGCGGCGAGUGAUAAAAUCCGUCGUCAAGAGGGAAACAACCCAGACUACCAGCUAAGGUCCCUAAAUCUUACUUAAGUGGAAAACGAUGUGAAGUUACUUAAACAACCAGGAGGUUGGCUUAGAAGCAGCCAUCCUUUAAAGAAAGCGUAAUAGCUCACUGGUCUAGUGAUUUUGCGCGGAAAAUAUAACGGGGCUAAAGUAAGUACCGAAGCUGUAGACUUGCGCACAACUUAGAUUAUUUAAGUUUAGAAUAUGAGAAACUAAGUUAUAUGUUUAGUUAUAUUUUUACUGAUUUUUAUAGAGUAAAGAUAGAAAUAAAACUUAGUAAAAUCAGUAAAAAUAUUCUUAGACUAAAGUUAAGUAGUUUAAGUUGUGUGCAAGUGGUAGGAGAGCGUUCUAUUUGCGUCGAAGGUAUACCGGUAAGGAGUGCUGGAGCGAAUAGAAGUGAGCAUGCAGGCAUGAGUAGCGAUAAUUAAUGUGAGAAUCAUUAACGCCGUAAACCCAAGGUUUCCUACGCGAUGCUCGUCAUCGUAGGGUUAGUCGGGUCCUAAGUCGAGUCCGAAAGGGGUAGACGAUGGCAAAUUGGUUAAUAUUCCAAUACCAACAUUAGUGUGCGAUGGAAGGACGCUUAGGGCUAAGGGGGCUAGCGGAUGGAAGUGCUAGUCUAAGGUCGUAGGAGGUUAUACAGGCAAAUCCGUAUAACAAUACUCCGAGAACUGAAAGGCUUUUUGAAGUCUUCGGAUGGAUAGAAGAACCCCUGAUGCCGUCGAGCCAAGAAAAGUUUCUAAGUUUAGCUAAUGUUGCCCGUACCGUAAACCGACACAGGUGGGUGGGAUGAGUAUUCUAAGGCGCGUGGAAGAACUCUCUUUAAGGAACUCUGCAAAAUAGCACCGUAUCUUCGGUAUAAGGUGUGGUUCGCUUCGUAUUAGGAUUUACUCCGAAAGCGAAGAAACUUACAACAAAGAGUCCCUCCCGACUGUUUACCAAAAACACAGCACUCUGCUAACUCGUAAGAGGAUGUAUAGGGUGUGACGCCUGCCCGGUGCUCGAAGGUUAAUUGAUGGGGUUAGCAUUAGCGAAGCUCUUGAUCGAAGCCCGAGUAAACGGCGGCCGUAACUAUAACGGUCCUAAGGUAGCGAAAUUCCUUGUCGGUUAAAUACCGACCUGCAUGAAUGGCGUAACGAGAUGGGAGCUGUCUCAAAGAGGGAUCCAGUGAAAUUGUAGUGGAGGUGAAAAUUCCUCCUACCCGCGGCAAGACGGAAAGACCCCGUGGACCUUUACUACAGCUUGACACUGCUAUUUGGAUAAGAAUGUGCAGGAUAGGUGGGAGGCUUUGAGUAUAUGACGCCAGUUGUAUAUGAGCCAUUGUUGAGAUACCACUCUUUCUUAUUUGGGUAGCUAACCAGCUUGAGUUAUCCUCAAGUGGGACAAUGUCUGGUGGGUAGUUUGACUGGGGCGGUCGCCUCCCAAAUAAUAACGGAGGCUUACAAAGGUUGGCUCAGAACGGUUGGAAAUCGUUCGUAGAGUAUAAAGGUAU